CAUGACUGGGGUGAAGUCGUAACAAGGUAGCCGUAGGGGAACCUGCGGCUGGAUCACCUCCUUAAUCGAAGAU
rnacentral:rRNA from 1 species